rnacentral:rRNA from 1 species
UGGGGAAUAUUGCACAAUGGGCGCAAGCCUGAUGCAGCCAUGCCGCGUGUAUGAAGAAGGCCUUCGGGUUGUAAAGUACUUUCAGCGGGGAGGAAGGGAGUAAAGUUAAUACCUUUGCUCAUUGACGUUACCCGCAGAAGAAGCACCGGCUAACUCCGUGCCAGCAGCCGCGGUAAUACGGAGGGUGCAAGCGUUAAUCGGAAUUACUGGGCGUAAAGCGCACGCAGGCGGUUUGUUAAGUCAGAUGUGAAAUCCCCGGGCUCAACCUGGGAACUGCAUCUGAUACUGGCAAGCUUGAGUCUCGUAGAGCGGGGUAGAAUUCCAGGUGUAGCGGUGAAAUGCGUAGAGAUCUGGAGGAAUACCGGUGGCGAAGGCGGCCCCCUGGACGAAGACUGACGCUCAGGUGCGAAAGCGUGUGGAGCAAACAGG